rnacentral:rRNA from 1 species
AUUGAACGCUGGCGGCAGGCUUAACACAUGCAAGUCGAGCGGAGCGAGGGUGCUUGCACCUUAGCUUAGCGGCGGACGGGUGAGUAAUGCUUAGGAAUCUGCUUAUUAGUGGGGGACAACAUUCCGAAAGGAAUGCUAAUACCGCAUACGUCCUACGGGAGAAAGCAGGGGAUCUUCGGACCUUGCGCUAAUAGAUGAGCCUAAGUCCUAUUAGCUAGUUGGUGGGGUAACGGCCUACCAAGGCGACGAUGGGGACGGGGCUUGAGAGCGCAACCCCGCUCACUUGGACGGAGACACUGCCCAGACACCUACGGGUGGCCGCAGUCGAGGGUCUUCGGCAAUGGACGCAAGUCUGACCGAGCGACGCCGCGUGCGGGAUGAAGGCCUUCGGGUUGUAAACCGCUGUCAGUUGGGAGGAAAUCACAUGGGGUUCUCUCCAUGUGUUGACCUAUCUUCAGAGGAAGGACGGGCUAAGUUCGUGCCAGCAGCCGCAGUAA